CACUUCCGGCCGGUCUAGCCGCUGUGUGCACUCCUCUCCCUGGCCAGCCUGCCGGGGCGGGGAGUUGGGGAUUCCCCUCGCGCGGCGGAGAGCGUUGGGGGGCGUGUCGGCUCUGGGGCAGGGGCCCUGGCUCUAGUUCGCGCUGAGCCGCGGGCGCCUGAGGGGCCGCGCGCGGUGGGGGGAAGGUUCUGUGAAGCGGCACCACCCUGGGGCGGGGGAGGGGAGAGCGAGCAGGCAGCUGAAGCACCUGGAGGGGCAGGAGAACAGCACGGGGGAGGGGGAGCAGCACCUUGAGGACGAGUGUGUGUGUGGUGGGGAAGCAGGACGCCCCAAGGCAGGGAGGGGAAAACAGCCCGCUGAGGGGGGCAAGGGGGCACAACCCCCUACGUGGCAGUGAUUGUGCAUUUUAUGAGCAUAGUGGGUGCAUUAACCCUAAGCAUGGCCUUGAUCUGCCCAACCCCUGGGACUUGAGCCUGAGACCUGAACAGUUUGACUGGUUCAGAGGCAUUUAGCAGUAAAUUCUGUGGUUUUCUCACAUUGGCAGCUGCCUGGAACGGGGCCUUCCAUCCCUUCUGGAACAUUGGCUAGAAGUGGACUUGUAUCCUCUCGGUUAGGAGCCACUCCAUGGAAGCAGGAAUGAAACUGUUGUUCUCAUGCUCUGGUGCAGUGUGAGGGCCUCUUUUAUAGUUAACUGGCUGUACCCCCUUGGUGGUAUACUUUAUUCCUCUCCCCAGAGCUUGCCUUAUGUGUGUCCAAGGGGUGAGAAAGAUAGAAAUGUCAGAAGAAGUUGGGGCUCCCAGGAGCCCCUCCUCAGCAGCUGGAGGUCAAGUCCCCUUUCUGCACAAAGAACUGUGUGACUGUGAUUCUGUACCUGCCAAGUGUAAAUGUCCAGCAGCUCCAUCAUCUCCUGUACCAGACAAUCCCCAGCUGCAGUCCAGAGCAUCAUUGGACUCUGUAAUCGGGGAAGGAUGUAGAAUUCAAGUGUCUGUUAUUCUGCCUGUUCACAAUUCUGAAUGUUGGUUGGAUGAAUGCUUGAAGUCAGUCAUGAAGCAAGAUUUUGAAGGUACCAUGGAGUUGUCUGUGUUUAAUGAUGCUAGUAAGGAUAAUUCAAUUAAUAUAAUUGAAAAAUGGAAGCUCAAGUUGGAAGAUGUGGGUAUUCGGGUUGUCAUUGGUGGUCAUGAUUCACCUCAACCCCAAGGAGUUGGCUUUGCUAAAAACCAAGCAAUAAUACAGAGUUCAGGGACCUACCUCUGCUUUCUGGAUUCUGAUGAUGUGAUGAUGCCACAGAGGGUGAAAUUGCAGUUUGAAGCUGCCAUUCAGCAUCCAAAUAGUAUUAUAGGUUGCCAAGUCAGGAGAGAGCCAUUGGAUUCUACUGAACGAUAUACUCGUUGGAUCAAUAACCUGACACCUGGACAACUUCUUACACAGGUGUUUACCUCCCAUGGACCCACUGUGAUCAUGCCUACCUGGUUCUGUUCCCGAGAAUGGUUUUGUCACGUGGGCAAAUUUGAUGAGGGUGGGAAGGGUGUUCCGGAAGACUUGCUGUUCUUUUAUGAACAUAUCCGAAAGGGUGGUGGAGUCUUUCGAGUUGACCAGUGCCUCCUCCAGUAUCGCUACCAUCCACAGGCAGCAACUCAUUCUGUUCUAGAGGAAACCAUCUGGAAUCACCGAGUCAGGUUUCUGGAAGACAGAGCCCUCAAGCACUGGACAUCUUUCACCAUUUGGAAUGCUGGCAAACAAGGCAGGAAGCUCUAUAGAAGCUUAUCACCAGCUAAUCAGAAGAAGGUAGCUGCAUUUUGUGAUGUUGAUGAAAAUAAGAUAGUGAAAGGUUUCUACACUUACCAAGAAUCCAAGGAGAGACGAAAACCCCAAAUUCCUAUACAACAUUUCAGAGACGCAACCCCACCUUUCAUUAUCUGUGUAAAGUUGGAUCUGACAGGUGGAGGAUUUGAAGAAAACUUGGCCACACUAGACUUGAAAGAGGGACUGGAUUAUCAUCAUUUCAACUGAACACUCAGGCUGGACACCAAGAAGCGUUGCCUACUUGAAUGUUAGUUGGUCUGAGCUGGUGAAAUGGCUCACAGCAUCCAGAGCCACUCCCUAUCAGGCUCUCAGUCUCAAACUCCAGUUUAUCAAGAUGCUGCAGCACAGAUCACUUCCUCCUUCAUGACGCAAGUGCCAGAGAGCUUCAGU